rnacentral:rRNA from 1 species
AUUGAACGCUGGCGGCAGGCUUAACACAUGCAAGUCGAGCGGAGCGCGGGUGCUUGCACCUUAGCUUAGCGGCGGACGGGUGAGUAAUGCUUCGGAAUCUGCCUAUUAGUGGGGGACAACAUUCCGAAAGGAAUGAUAAUACCGCAUACGCCCUACGGGGGAACGCAGGGGAUCUUCGGACCUUGCGCUAAUAGAUGAGCCUAAGUCGGAUUAGCGAGUUGGUGGGGUAAAGGCCUACCAAGGCGAAGAUCUGUAGCGGGUCUGAGAGGAUGAUCCGCCACACUGGGACUGAGACACGGCCCAGACUCCUACGGGAGGCAGCAGUGGGGAAUAUUGGACAAUGGGCGGAAGCCUGAUCCAGCCAUGCCGCGUGUGUGAAGAAGGCCUUUUGGUUGUAAAGCACUUUAAGCGAGGAGGAGGCUACUUAGAUUAAUACUCUAGGAUAGUGGACGUUACUCGCAGAAUAAGCACCGGCUAACUCUGUGCCAGCCGCCGCCGUAAAAC